GCACAAGCGGUGGAGCAUGUGGUUAAUUCGAUGCAACGCGAAGAACCUUACCUGGGCUUGACAUCCCGGGAAUCCCUUGGAAACAGGGAGUGCCCUUCGGGGAACCUGGAGACAGGUGCUGCAUGGCUGUCGUCAGCUCGUGUCGUGAGAUGUAGGGUUAAGUCCCGCAACGAGCGCAACCCUCGCCUUUAGUUGCCAGCAUUCAGUUGGGCACUCUAAAGGGACUGCCGGUGUCAAACCGGAGGAAGGUGGGAUGACGUCAAGUCCUCAUGGCCUUUAUGUCUAGGGCUACACACGUACUACAAUGGCAGGUACAAAGGGCAGCGACACAGCGAUGUGAUGCGAAUCCCGAAAAGCCUGUCUCAGUCCGGAUCGGAGUCUGCAACUCGACUCCGUGAAGUUGGAAUCGCUAGUAAUCGUGGAUCAGCAUGCCACGGUGAAUACGUUCCCGGGCCUU
rnacentral:rRNA from 1 species